AACGAACGCUGGCGGCAGGCUUAACACAUGCAAGUCGAGCGCCCCGCAAGGGGAGCGGCAGACGGGUGAGUAACGCGUGGGAAUCUACCCAUCUCUACGGAAUAACGCAUGGAAACGUGUGCUAAUACCGUAUACGUCCUUCGGGAGAAAGAUUUAUCGGAGAUGGAUGAGCCCGCGUUGGAUUAGCUAGUUGGUGGGGUAAAGGCCUACCAAGGCGACGAUCCAUAGCUGGUCUGAGAGGAUGAUCAGCCGCACUGGGACUGAGACACGGCCCAGACUCCUACGGGAGGCAGCAGUGGGGAAUAUUGGACAAUGGGCGCAAGCCUGAUCCAGCCAUGCCGCAUGAGUGAUGAAGGCCCUAGGGUUGUAAAGCUCUUUCACCGGUGAAGAUAAUGACGGUAACCGGAGAAGAAGCCCCGGCUAACUUCGUGCCAGCCGCCGCCGUAAGAC
rnacentral:rRNA from 1 species